rnacentral:lncRNA from 1 species
UUAAAUUGGAGAGUCAUGCAGAAACUUUUCUCCAACGAGCAUCAUAUAAAUUUUGGAGUGCUUCAUUAAGUCCAAAAAUGAUGUUAGGGCUUCAGGUUCACAUUACGGGAUUAGGAUAUAGGGCAGUCCCAACCCAAGACACCACCACGUAGUCUCUAUUCAUACCAGGUCAUAUAGAAAUUAGAUAUAAAAUUAUGUUGGCAAUAAAUGAUUUCUUCAAAAUAAAGUAUCAACCAAUCUCCUCUCUUCUCUCCUUUCCUCUCCAAUCCCCC